rnacentral:rRNA from 1 species
AUGGCGUCGCGCAGCGCCGCGCUCUGCUUCUCCGCCGCGGCCACUGGCGGCGGCGGCGGCAGGGGCAGGAGCCGGAGGCGCUUCUUGGUCGUCUGCUGCAACGGCGGCCGGAGAUCCGACCUGCUCUCUUCCUCCCUGGCGGCCAAGGUGCUGGGCGCGCCGACGACCUUCGACGCGGCGAAGCUGACGGUGCAGCACGCCGCCGGUCCCGCAGCGUUCCCGAGGGCCUACACCCUGAGCCACUGCGACUUCACGGCGAACCUGACACUGGCAGUGUCGGAGACCAUCACGAGCGAGCAGCUCCGGCAAUGGGGGUGGCGGCGCGACGACGUGUUCGCCGAGUGGAAGGAGAUGACCUGCACCGGCGGGCCGGGCGGCGGGGAGAUGACGCUGCACCUGCACUGCCACGUGAGCGGGCCCAACCCGCUGCAGGAGCUCGCCGCCGGCUUCCGCUACUACGUCUUCUCCAAGGAGCUGCCGCUGGUGCUCAAGGCGGUGGUGCACGGCGACGCCGCCCUCUUCGCCGCCCGGCCCGAGCUCCUGGACGCCCGCGUCUGGGUGCACUUCCACUCCUCCUCCCGCAAGUACAACCGCAUCGAGUGCUGGGGCGCCCUCCGCGAGGCCACCAAGAGGAGUCUGCUGGAUGGGGAGCUCAUCGACGAGCUCCAGAGCGAGAUCACCAAGCGACGAAGAACAUGGAACAUAUUCAACGCCCUCGUCUCGUUUCUGCUAUGA